CCCAGGCUCAGCAGUUGAGUGUGAGCAGCACCACUGUCUGGGCACUGAACCCACAGAGAGAGAUUCUCUGUAGAUAUGGCAUCAGCAAGCAAAACCCAGUGGGUGAUUACUGGAAAAAAAUACCCGGAAAUUACCAGAAUAUUUCAGCUUCUGCCAAUAACCAGUUGUGGGGUAUAACAAAAGAUGGUGGACUCUUUGAACAUAAAAGCAAGUAUCUGAAAAGGAGGGAAUUUGUUGAGGAAAGCCUUUCAAAAAUUGGUAGAAGCACUAGUGCUAACAGUGAUGGUGAUUGGGAACUAUUGUAAAACAAGGCAUUUUUCAUACCAUGCAUUUAUUUGUAAUGCCCAGUAGAUGUAGAUUAAAUACUGGGGUAUCUUGAUAAUGUUUGAUAUUGUUGCAUUGCAUUUUUGGCAUUGAUUUAUGGAAAUACACAAAUUUAAAGGAAAAUACUGAAAAUUCUGUGAGAAGAUUAACCAAAAAGAAAAUUAUGCAAAGGUAUUCUUUAGAACUUGGUGUACUCUUUGCUCUUUACAGUUAAAACAUUAUUAAGUAUAUGUUCUGACAUUCUUUAUUUUUUUCCAUUGACAAUUGUUCAGAAAAAAUUGGAAAAUGCUUCAUGAUAUUCACUUAUGGGUUCAGUUCAGCAAAAUGUGAUAAUUUGUCCCCUCGCCAUGAUCACUCUUGUAUGUACAUUUUUUUGCAAAGUUAUUGCUUUUUAUACUUUCCUUAUUUAUUUAUAUUUAUUUCUGCUGACUCAAUCAUUAAAUGAGUAAAAAAUCACUUGAAACAAAUUUCAUGGACUUAUGUUUUUUAAAUUCCUUAACUGAUGAAAUGCAUUUGAUUGCAUGGUGGGUAUUUUCAUCAGCAUUUAUCUCAAGUUUUUUCUACAUUAUUCUUGCAUGCUUUCCUUUUUGUGAAUUUUUUUUAGGACUGAGUUUUACACAUUGCAAAUUGAUAAAAAUUCAUUGUGUACAGCUGAACCAUUCUGCUGAGAGUUCAAAUAUAAGAUAUUAGGAAAGGUGCAUGCUAGUCAAAUCAGGUGAAGUUGAAAGUGAUUAGUUACCCAUUGAUAGGUACACUGGUGAAUUUAAGAUGGGUUUGUAAAUGAAGAUUACUUUGAUUAUGAUUAAUAAUUUAUUUCGUUUCAUAUACAAAUGUAUUUUUUUAAUUAGUAAGAAGGUGCAAUUUUUUCUUUUUUAAGUGCAAUGUAAGUAAAACAAGGGAAUGUUUUACAUUAAGAAUGUUCUUCCCACUUGAUUCAUUUUGUCAAAUUCAACAUUGAUUUGAGUGCUAUUUCUUGCUUGGCUUUUUUUCUAGUAGUACAUUGUACACAUUGCUGAGUGAACAGAAUUUUGUUUAAUCAAAUUUGUGAAUAUAUAAAUACACAUGUAUAUUCUUUUUUUUUUUUUUUUUUUUCGACACUGGUAUAUUAACAUAUUUGGGGGAUGUAGAGAAAUGUGUACUUGCUCAGUAUCAGAAAUGUGAUGUCAAAUUCAUUUGAAAGGGAGCUGAAAAUAAAGGUGAGGGCAUGCUGCCCCCCUUCUCUCACCCCUUGUUUCACCUUUGUAACAAUCUGUCUAAUGCACAAUUGUAUAAGGCCAGCUUAAAGCAAAAUACUGGUUAAUGAAAAGAAAUGCUUCGUUGAAUCGAAAUUCAUUGUGUAUUAAGUGUUGUAUGUAAUAGGAGGUAAAGGUUCCAUUGUAGGCAAUUUGUAGCUCAAAAUAAUGUUUUUAUGCACACAUAAGAAAUACAAUGGGUGUAUUAUUCAUUAAAGAUGCCAUAUUUGCUAAUUCUGUCAUAAUUGUCUUCCAUGUGCUGUUGCAAAGUUGUGGUAUGCUUGCUCAAAUAAGCAGUCAAUACUGUUACUUACAUGAUAUGUUUAAGGGCCUAUCGGCAGAACUUGUUAUUUAUUUUCUCUGUUGCUGUUGCUUUUGAAUUGCCAGAAGGUAAAUUUCAUUGCAAACUUACCAAGUUAGGCACAUUUUGUUGCAAGUUCUAUGUUGAAGGAGAACAUGGUAUUUUUAUGGACAGACAUUUUGUGUCUGGACAUACAUCCAUCACCUACCAGUCACCUACCAGUCACCACCUUCCACAUUGAAUUUCCUGGAAUUUUAACUUGAGAAAAUUAUAAAAGGCAAACCAUACUUUUUAUUAUUCUCAAAUUUAUAGGAAUGAUUCAUAGAACUUAAAUUAUACAUGAAGCAAGAUUUCCUGUAACACAUCUAAAUCACUAGUUUCUUAUGACUCAAAUAAAUGCCACAUGCCAAAUGAUAAAAAAAUAAAAAA